rnacentral:rRNA from 1 species
UAGGGAAUCUUCCACAAUGGGCGAAAGCCUGAUGGAGCAACGCCGCGUGUGUGAUGAAGGUUUCGGCUCGUAAAACACUGUUGUAAGAGAAGAAUGACAUUGAGAGUAACUGUUCAAUGUGUGACGGUAUCUUACCAGAAAGGAACGGCUAAAUACGUGCCUG